AAGUCGUAACAAGGUUUCCGUAGGUGAACCUGCGGAAGGAUCAUUAACAAAUUCUAUUAUAAAACUUGCAAUUAUUAUUAUUAUUUAUAUAAUAAUAAUUGCAUGUAAACAUAAAAUUAUAGUCUUUUUUAAAAAAUAUUAUUUAAAAUAACUUUUAACAAUGGAUCUCUUGGCUCUU
rnacentral:misc_RNA from 1 species